UGUUGCCUAAAGGGUUAGUAGUAAUAGACCGGGUUAGUCAGAUGCACUCUUUCUCCUAGUGGUAAAAAAAUAAAUACGAUACUCUAGAUAACCUCCCGGGUGAAGUGCUCACCGAUAUCCGUGCGCUUGCGGAUCAAUUCCUUAUUGCGUUCCCAAAUAUCAACAAGGGCUAUGGCCAAACACAAAAGCAUUGAGUGUGUGUGACCAAAAGAAUGAAGCAGCGAUUAGCAGUGACUCAUUCCUCUCCAUAUCGGCAAGGGACAACCUAAUGCACUGGUCCAAUUUUCGCUCGCCCCAUUGAACCUCAUUUGAGUGGCUGACUCUCAAGAACCAAUCCUUCCAUCCCUUGGUGGGACUGGGCCAGGAACGGAAGGCAUCUUUCCAUAGAUCUAGGGAGAAGUUUUCGGCUCUAAAAGGAACUCUGUUUGUCUCUGCGUUUAUCAGAUUGUUGGGAUCUGGGUUUCCUAGCGGGCCAAGACAUUGGAGGUGAGGUUGAUCGGUAGGAAUAACGAUCUUAUCGGCCAAAUCCUAGAAGUUUUUGAGGGUAAAAAAAGAACAAAAAGAAAAAGGAAUAUUCAGUAAGACAAAUUGCGGAUGAACAGGAGUGCAGUAAAAGUGCAGGAGAAAGGGUGGUAGGCUAACCUCAGGAACGACGAAGUUGAUGGCCAUCUCCUCGCAGGGAAGAAGAUCGAAGACUUGGGGGUUGAUGAAGAAAGGCCCUUGUUGAAGUUCUUAGAGUCCUCGGGUAAUGCCGCCGCCGUGAAAAUGGAUUUUGGGCUGUAGAAUGACAAGAUUUAGGAAGAGUACUGGAGAAAGAAGUAUUUAUAGGACAAGACGGACAGGGGCAAAUCUGACUUAUGUCUUCGCCGCAUCCAUGAAAUCCUAGGGUGCUC
rnacentral:lncRNA from 1 species